rnacentral:lncRNA from 1 species
AUCAUAAAUAUAUCCCAAAUACCAGAAAGGAAAAUUGUCCAUAGGAUGGUAGAAAUGGUGAUUUAGAAUGGUGGAAGAUAGACUGCUAUAAAUGUGUUGGACUAAUGGUAAGCACUGAUGAUGAAAACAAAAGGAGACAGAAAAACUAUUAGAACUAGACUCAAAAAUUGUAAACCUUACCAUGAGGGCCUCUAUAUAUCAGUAAGUCCCUAAGCUAUUGUAUAAUCCAGCAAAAACAUUGUAUUAAAAAUUAUUUACCAAGUCAAAAGACUAUAAAGCAUCAAACUGAGGUAAAAUGUGCUUA